rnacentral:lncRNA from 1 species
GCCCCUUCGAUAACCCCGGUCGGACGCCGGGGGAUCGGGCUGUUACAAUUGGUAUCAGAGCGGGUUAAGAUCCCUUAGUUCUGUCCUAAGGGAUCAGCAUUUCCGACGUUUUCAAAAAAAAACUUGUUUUCAUUAAAAGAAAAGAGUUUGUAAAAGUUUUGUAUCUUCUAACACUCCUGAAAAUGAUUUCAAAACCACCCACUAUAUCUAUACGUUAUUAUGAUUUUGAUCAGAUCCAUUGUACUUGCAAAAUUUCUUUUUGAGCUUAAUUCAUUCAUUGGUUUUUAAAAGAUUUCCGAGCAAAGUUGUUCUCGCCUUGUGUGCCUCCCUUGUAUGAUGUGUGAUUGUGUGAGUUCCUUUUGUUAUCGGAUGUUAAGUUCGGAAGUCUAGGGCUUGGAAUUCGGGGACGAAUUCCGAUUAACAGGUCCGAGUUGUAACGGCCCGGUUCCUGGCCCAAAAAUUUCUUAAGGAGAGCCCGUUAAGACUGCAGCCCAUUAGGGUAAAUGACCUAGGGUUCCCUCUUUUUCCUAUAAAUGAAGCUGC